rnacentral:rRNA from 1 species
AACGAACGCUGGCGGCAGGCUUAACACAUGCAAGUCGAGCGCCCCGCAAGGGGAGCGGCAGACGGGUGAGUAACGCGUGGGAAUCUACCUUUUGCUACGGAAUAACUCAGGGAAACUUGUGCUAAUACCGUAUGUGCCCUUCGGGGGAAAGAUUUAUCGGCAAAGGAUGAGCCCGCGUUGGAUUAGCUAGUUGGUGAGGUAAAGGCUCACCAAGGCGACGAUCCAUAGCUGGUCUGAGAGGAUGAUCAGCCACACUGGGACUGAGACACGGCCCAGACUCCUACGGGAGGCAGCAGUGGGGAAUAUUGGACAAUGGGCGCAAGCCUGAUCCAGCCAUGCCGCGUGAGUGAUGAAGGCCCUAGGGUUGUAAAGCUCUUUCAACGGUGAAGAUAAUGACGGUAACCGUAGAAGAAGCCCCGGCUAACUUC